rnacentral:rRNA from 1 species
AACGAACGCUGGCGGCGUGCCUAACACAUGCAAGUCGAACGGAGGUAGGGAGCUUGCUCCUUACUUUAGUGGCGCACGGGUGAGUAACGCGUAGAUAAUCUGCCUUAGACUCUGGGAUAACAUCUCGAAAGGGGUGCUAAUACCUGAUAAGCCCACGAUGGCGAAAGUCGUUGCGGGAAAAGGGGCCUCUGUAUAUGCUCUUGAUCUAAGAUGAGUCUGCGUACCAUUAGCUAGUUGGUAGGGUAAGAGCCUACCAAGGCGACGAUGGUUAGCUGGUCUGAGAGGAUGAUCAGCCACACUGGAACUGAGACACGGUCCAGACUCCUACGGGUGGCUG